UUGUAGAGGAGGGCGUGGCUUCCGGCAUUUGGCGGGGUCUUUGUCUCUCGCUCCCUGCAGAGCUUGGGAUCUGUCUCUGCGGUUCUGCGACCUACACCUUGAGAUCCACCCCCCCCCCCGUGACUCUGUCACAGCCUCUGUUGCUCUGUGAUCUGCAGGUCCUGGGAGACGCACACCUCAGAUGCCAGGACAUCCUGGAAACUUGGAAAGGGUCUCACUGUAUCUAAGCUGGACCUGGUGACCUUUUUGGAGGGAAGGAAAGAGCCCUGGACUGUGACAAGUGAGGAGACCGUAGCUGCACAGCUAGGUUUUGCCUGCAGGAGACAUUGUGACAUAUUGCUGGGCCCUGCACUGACAUCAUGUGACUCUUCUGUCUAUGGGUUUGUCCACUUGGGCCAUUGUGACAUACUGCUGGGUUCAAUAUCC